rnacentral:rRNA from 1 species
AUUGAACGCUGGCGGCAUGCUUUACACAUGCAAGUCGAACGGUAACAGGCCGCAAGGUGCUGACGAGUGGCGAACGGGUGAGUAACGCAUCGGAACGUGCCCAGUCGUGGGGGAUAACGCAGCGAAAGCUGCGCUAAUACCGCAUACGAUCUCUGGAUGAAAGCGGGGGACCGAAAGGCCUCGCGCGAUUGGAGCGGCCGAUGUCAGAUUAGGUAGUUGGUGGGGUAAAGGCCCACCAAGCCAACGAUCUGUAGCUGGUCUGAGAGGACGACCAGCCACACUGGGACUGAGACACGGCCCAGACUCCUACGGGAGGCAGCAGUGGGGAAUUUUGGACAAUGGGCGCAAGCCUGAUCCAGCAAUGCCGCGUGCAGGAAGAAGGCCUUCGGGUUGUAAACUGCUUUUGUACGGAACGAAACGGUCCUGGUUAAUACCUGGGGCUAAUGACGGUACCGUAAGAAUAAGCACCGGCUAACUACGUGCCAGCCGCCGCGGUAACAC